GUAUCUGUUUCUCAUCAUUCAGGAAAUUUGGGUCUGGUUUAGAGACCUCAUUUAACAAACUACUAUCUUCUGAUAAAUUAAGAAAUGAUGUCUCAUCAUCAGUACUUCCAGAAAGGGGUUCAUCCAAAAUAUGCACAUCAUCAGUACUUCCAGAAAGGGGUUGAUCCAAAAUAUGCACAUUCUGAAGCCUCGAAUUCAUGGAAUCAUCAAUAAUGUGUCUGGCUUCAUUGCUAACAAAGGGUUCUGAUUUGUCAGUCAAUGUUGUAUCAGCAAUCAGAGAAGCAGCCUCGUCAGUACUUGAAGCUG
rnacentral:lncRNA from 1 species